UACAGAGGUCUCAAGCGUUGUUCGGAUUCAUUGGGCGUAAAGCGCACGUAGGCGGCUUCUUAAGUCAGGGGUGAAAUCCUGGAGCUCAACUCCAGAACUGCCUUUGAUACUGAGAAGCUUGAGUCCGGGAGAGGUGAGUGGAACUGCGAGUGUAGAGGUGAAAUUCGUAGAUAUUCGCAAGAACACCAGUGGCGAAGGCGGCUCACUGGCCCGGUACUGACGCUGAGGUGCGAAAGCGUGGGGAGCAAACAGG
rnacentral:rRNA from 1 species